GGGUACUCCGCCUCCCCCGCAUGGGGGAGGCGGGAGAGCGUAUGCGGCGGGGGAUGGGCCCGCGGCCUGUUAGCUAGUUGGCGGGGCAACGGCCCACCAAGGCGAUUAUGGGUAGCUGGGUUGAGAGACCGACCAGCCAGAUUGGGACUGAGACACGGCCCAGACUCCUACGGGAGGCAGCAGUGGGGAAUCUUGCGCAAUGGGGGCAACCCUGACGCAGCGACGCCGCGUGCGGGACGAAGGCCUUCGGGUCGUAAACCGCUUUCAGCAGGGACGAGGCCGCGAGGUGACGGUACCUGCAGAAGAAGCCCCGGCUAACUACGUGCCAGCAGCCGCGGUAAUACGUAGGGGGCGAGCGUUAUCCGGAUUCAUUGGGCGUAAAGCGCUCGUAGGCUGCCCGCUAGGUCCGGGGUCAAAUCCGGGGGCUCAACCCCCGCACGCCCCGGAUACCGGCGGGCUUGAGUCGGGUAGGGGAAGGCGGAAUUCCAGGUGUAGCGGUGGAAUGCGCAGAUAUCUGGAAGGACACCGGUGGCGAAGGCGGCCUUCUGGGCCUCGACUGACGCUGAGGAGCGAAAGCUGGGGGAGCGAACAGGAUUAGAUACCCUGGUAGUCUCAGCCGUAAACGAUGGACGCUAGGU
rnacentral:rRNA from 1 species